rnacentral:misc_RNA from 1 species
AAGUCGUAACAAGGUUUCCGUAGGUGAACCUGCGGAAGGAUCAUUAACGAGUUUUUGAAAGGGGUUGUAGCUGGCCAAACAAAGGCAUGUGCACACCCUGCUCAAUCCACUCUCAAACCCCUGUGCACUUAUUGUAGGCAAUGGUGGGAUAAUUGAUUUCGGUCGAUUUGAAAGCCGUGUCUAUGUUUAUUACAAACGCUUCAGUUAAAGAAUGUUAUCUCGCGUUUAACGCAUUAUAUACAACUUUCAGCAACGGAUCUCUUGGCUCUC